AUUGAACGCUGGCGGCAUGCUUUACACAUGCAAGUCGAACGGCAGCGCGGGCUUCGGCCUGGCGGCGAGUGGCGAACGGGUGAGUAAUGCAUCGGAACGUGCCCGGUAGUGGGGGAUAGCGCGGCGAAAGCCGGAUUAAUACCGCAUACGACCUGAGGGUGAAAGCGGGGGACCGAAAGGCCUCGCGCUAUUGGAGCGGCCGAUGUCGGAUUAGCUAGUUGGUGGGGUAAAGGCUUACCAAGGCGACGAUCCGUAGCUGGUCUGAGAGGACGACCAGCCACACUGGGACUGAGACACGGCCCAGACUCCUACGGGAGGCAGCAGUGGGGAAUUUUGGACAAUGGGGGCAACCCUGAUCCAGCCAUGCCGCGUGCGGGAAGAAGGCCUUCGGGUUGUAAACCGCUUUUGUUCGGGAAGAAAUCCUCUGGGCUAAUACCCCGGGGGGAUGACGGUACCGGAAGAAUAAGCACCGGCUAACUACGUG
rnacentral:rRNA from 1 species